rnacentral:tRNA from 1 species
GCUCCAGUAGCUCAGGUGGAUAGAGCAACGGUUUCCUAAACCGUAGGUCGCACGUUCAAGUCGUGUCUGGGGCA